rnacentral:tRNA from 1 species
GCUCCUGUGGUGGAAUGGUAGACACAGCAGACUCAAAAUCUGUUGCCCUAGUGGCAUGCUGGUUCAAAUCCGGCUAGGAGCA